UAGCAAUAUGUACAAUCCAGAACUGAACACAACAAAUCAGUCAAACUCACAGGUUUAUUUCAAGAAGUAAAAAUGAAUUUUUUUCUUUUUGUUUUUCAAUUACACUAGCUACCUCUUCUGGUUUACUGACAAAAAUUGGCUCUUUUGAUAAAAAUAUUUUAUGUUUUACAAAGGCAGUGACUAGAUGGGGCUCCCAGACUUCAUAAGGUUUUUCUUCAUGUACAUUCAAUGAGCACUAUAUGAGCUGCUCAAAUCAAGUACCAAUUUACACUUAACACUGUGCAACCAAAAGUUUAAAUGUAUUUCAUAGAUGCUUAAGUUGUGACCUGUUCUAUUGUUUAUUUUGAUGAUGAUAUUGAAGUUUAUUGUUUGUUAAGACUAUCUUUUUUAAGUAGGUCACUUUAUAAGAUGUGUAGUUCUAUAUUUUUGUUUGAAAUAAAGCUGUUGAAUUUCAUUAAGCUAAUCUUACAAACCUAUAUGAACCUGUGAAUCUAGUUUCCUCACUGAUCUAUGUACAUGUCCUACUUCCUGGAAAUCAUUUUGAAAUUGAAAAUGUUUUUAACAUGAGAGUUCUUUUAAUGCAUCAAACUUUAUUGUUAUUUAGUGCAUUUCAGUCAAAGUGUUUAAAAUAUUUGUUCAAGUAAAUCUGAACAUUGAAAUGUGUGAAUAUCUUGUGAGUUUGUUUACUGCAAAUUGAUGUUGAGUUGAGCCUGUCAUUGGAUGAGGUCUGGGUAUCUGUUGAUUUCAGUACAAAACAAAAAAAAAAAGAGCAAUUUGUGUAUCCUGUCUUUACACUUCCAUACAAUGGUUUUCUGGAGUCAAUUUGCAUUUUGAGUACCAUAACACUCACAAAGUUUGCAAUUUAAAACUAAAAUCUUUUUUCCAUAUCUUUUGUUUUCAUUUUACCUGUAAAAAAAAUCCAUAAAGAUUAUAUAAUAUCUUACAUUCAAAGCAUUUUGAUGGAAUGUGGAAAUGGACACUGAUACUCUGCAAAUCUUGUUUGGCAUUUUUUUUUUAUGAAGUUAAUUUUCUUAAAUGAAUAGGCCUACAUAGCCAAUAAAAGCAUGUCUUGCUCUGAAAUAUUGGUUUAUUUAACACAAAAUUUACUUAAAGUUAACCAUUUUCCCUCUUGUUUUUUUAAAUAUAUUUAUAUUUUAAUGAUGUCGUACAU